rnacentral:rRNA from 1 species
UACAGAGGGCGCGAGCGUUGUCCGGAAUCACUGGGCGUAAAGGGCGCGUAGGUGGCUGGGUAAGCGUGUGGUGAAAGUCCGGGGCUCAACCCCGGAUCUGCCGUGCGAACUGCCUAGCUCGAGCAAUGUAGAGGCAGGUGGAAUUUCGGGUGUAGCGGUGGAAUGCGUAGAUAUCCGAAAGAACACCAGUGGCGAAGGCGGCCUGCUGGGCAUUAGCUGACACUGAGGCGCGACAGCGUGGGGAGCAAACAGG